UACAGAGGUCUCAAGCGUUGUUCGGAUUCAUUGGGCGUAAAGGGCGCGUAGGCUGCGGGGCAAGUCGGGUGUGAAAUCUCAGAGCUCAACUCUGAAACUGCACUCGAUACUGCUUUGCUUGAGGACUGGAGAGGAAUUGGAAGUUACGGUGUAGCAGUGAAAUGCGUAGAUAUCGUGAGGAAGACCAGUGGCGAAGGCGGAUCUCUGGACAGUUCCUGACGGCUG
rnacentral:rRNA from 1 species